rnacentral:rRNA from 1 species
ACUAAGCGUACACGGUGGAUGCCCUGGCAGUCAGAGGCGAUGAAGGACGUGCUAAUCUGCGAAAAGCGUCGGUAAGGUGAUAUGAACCGUUAUAACCGGCGAUGUCCGAAUGGGGAAACCCAGUGCAAUUCGUUGCACUAUCGUUAACUGAAUACAUAGGUUAACGAGGCGAACCGGGGGAACUGAAACAUCUAAGUACCCCGAGGAAAAGAAAUCAACCGAGAUUCCCCCAGUAGCGGCGAGCGAACGGGGAGCAGCCCAGAGUCUGAAUCAGCUUGUGUGUUAGUGGAACGGUCUGGAAAGUCCGACGGUACAGGGUGAUAGUCCCGUACACCAAAAUGCACAGGCUGUGAACUCGAAGAGUAGGGCGGGACACGUGGUAUCCUGUCUGAAUAUGGGGGGACCAUCCUCCAAGGCUAAAUACUCCUGACUGACCGAUAGUGAACCAGUACCGUGAGGGAAAGGCGAAAAGAACCCCGGCGAGGGGAGUGAAAAAGAACCUGAAACCGUGUACGUACAAGCAGUGGGAGCACCUUCGGGUGUGACUGCGUACCUUUUGUAUAAUGGGUCAGCGACUUAUAUUCUGUAGCAAGGUUAACCGUAUAGGGGAGCCGCAGGGAAACCGAGUCUUAACUGGGCGUUAAGUUGCAGGGUAUAGACCCGAAACCCGGUGAUCUAGCCAUGGGCAGGUUGAAGGUUGGGUAACACUAACUGGAGGACCGAACCGACUAAUGUUGAAAAAUUAGCGGAUGACUUGUGGCUGGGGGUGAAAGGCCAAUCAAACCGGGAGAUAGCUGGUUCUCCCCGAAAGCUAUUUAGGUAGCGCCUCGUGAAUUCAUCUUCGGGGGUAGAGCACUGUUUCGGCUAGGGGGUCAUCCCGACUUACCAACCCGAUGCAAACUACGAAUACCGAAGAAUGUUAUCACGGGAGACACACGGCGGGUGCUAACGUCCGUCGUGAAGAGGGAAACAACCCAGACCGCCAGCUAAGGUCCCAAAGUCAUGGUUAAGUGGGAAACGAUGUGGGAAGGCACAGACAGCCAGGAUGUUGGCUUAGAAGCAGCCAUCAUUUAAAGAAAGCGUAAUAGCUCACUGGUCGAGUCGGCCUGCGCGGAAGAUGUAACGGGGCUAAACCAUGCACCGAAGCUGCGGCAGCGACACUAUGUGUUGUUGGGUAGGGGAGCGUUCUGUAAGCCUGCGAAGGUGUGCUGUGAGGCAUGCUGGAGGUAUCAGAAGUGCGAAUGCUGACAUAAGUAACGAUAAAGCGGGUGAAAAGCCCGCUCGCCGGAAGACCAAGGGUUCCUGUCCAACGUUAAUCGGGGCAGGGUGAGUCGACCCCUAAGGCGAGGCCGAAAGGCGUAGUCGAUGGGAAACAGGUUAAUAUUCCUGUACUUGGUGUUACUGCGAAGGGGGGACGGAGAAGGCUAUGUUAGCCGGGCGACGGUUGUCCCGGUUUAAGCAUGUAGGCUGGUUGUCCAGGCAAAUCCGGAUAAUCAAGGCUGAGGUGUGAUGACGAGGCACUACGGUGCUGAAGUAACAAAUGCCCUGCUUCCAGGAAAAGCCUCUAAGCAUCAGGUAACAUUAAAUCGUACCCCAAACCGACACAGGUGGUCAGGUAGAGAAUACCAAGGCGCUUGAGAGAACUCGGGUGAAGGAACUAGGCAAAAUGGUGCCGUAACUUCGGGAGAAGGCACGCUGGUGUGUAGGUGAAGUCCCUGCGGAUGGAGCUGAGACCAGUCGAAGAUACCAGCUGGCUGCAACUGUUUAUUAAAAACACAGCACUGUGCAAACACGAAAGUGGACGUAUACGGUGUGACGCCUGCCCGGUGCCGGAAGGUUAAUUGAUGGGGUUAUCCGUAAGGAGAAGCUCUUGAUCGAAGCCCCGGUAAACGGCGGCCGUAACUAUAACGGUCCUAAGGUAGCGAAAUUCCUUGUCGGGUAAGUUCCGACCUGCACGAAUGGCGUAAUGAUGGCCAGGCUGUCUCCACCCGAGACUCAGUGAAAUUGAACUCGCUGUGAAGAUGCAGUGUACCCGCGGCAAGACGGAAAGACCCCGUGAACCUUUACUAUAGCUUGACACUGAACAUUGAGCCUUGAUGUGUAGGAUAGGUGGGAGGCUUUGAAGCGUGGACGCCAGUCUGCGUGGAGCCAACCUUGAAAUACCACCCUUUAAUGUUUGAUGUUCUAACGUUGGCCCCUUACCGGGGUUGCGGACAGUGUCUGGUGGGUAGUUUGACUGGGGCGGUCUCCUCCCAAAGCGUAACGGAGGAGCACGAAGGUUAGCUAAUCCUGGUCGGACAUCAGGAGGUUAGUGCAAUGGCAUAAGCUAGCUUGACUGCGAGCGUGACGGCGCGAGCAGGUGCGAAAGCAGGUCAUAGUGAUCCGGUGGUUCUGAAUGGAAGGGCCAUCGCUCAACGGAUAAAAGGUACUCCGGGGAUAACAGGCUGAUACCGCCCAAGAGUUCAUAUCGACGGCGGUGUUUGGCACCUCGAUGUCGGCUCAUCACAUCCUGGGGCUGAAGUAGGUCCCAAGGGUAUGGCUGUUCGCCAUUUAAAGUGGUACGCGAGCUGGGUUUAGAACGUCGUGAGACAGUUCGGUCCCUAUCUGCCGUGGGCGCUGGAGAAUUGAGGGGGGCUGCUCCUAGUACGAGAGGACCGGAGUGGACGCAUCACUGGUGUUCGGGUUGUCAUGCCAAUGGCACUGCCCGGUAGCUAAAUGCGGAAGAGAUAAGUGCUGAAAGCAUCUAAGCACGAAACUUGCCCCGAGAUGAGUUCUCCCUGAGACUUUAAGUCUCCUGAAGGAACGUUAAAGACGAUGACGUUGAUAGGCCGGGUGUGUAAGCGCAGCGAUGCGUUGAGCUAACCGGUACUAAUGAACCGUGAGGCUUAACC